AGAACGAACGCUGGCGGCAUGCCUAAUACAUGCAAGUCGAACGAACACUUCGGUGUUAGUGGCGCACGGGUGCGUAACGCGUGGGAAUCUGCCCUUGGGUUCGGAAUAACAGUUGGAAACGACUGCUAAUACCGGAUGAUAUCGAAAGAUCAAAGAUUUAUCGCCCAGGGAUGAGCCCGCGUAGGAUUAGCUAGUUGGUGAGGUAAAGGCUCACCAAGGCGACGAUCCGUAACUGGUC
rnacentral:rRNA from 1 species